GUUCCAAGGCAAGUGCUUAAUGAAGAAAAACUGAAUGGUGACUGAAUGAACUGUUGAUCAGAAGCACGACCAGAGAACCAAAAAGUCACUGGUUAACUAAAGCAAACAAUGUAAUAAAUUGAUGGACCUAAUCCACUACUGUGUAUGUAAUAAAUGAAUGAAACCAGGAUUUGAAAUGGGUCCUUGGGAAAUAAGUUUAUCAGAAUGAUUUCUGACUAUGAUCUUAAAAUCAGAAAAAAAUUUGGAAGCUAAAUAUAGUUCAGUUUUACACCAGCUCAAAAUACAGAAAUCAUCACUAUGAACAAAGCUAGUGGAGGUGAUAGAAUUCCAGUUGAGCUAUUCCAAAUCCUUAAAGAUGAUGCUGUGAAAGGGCUGCACUCAAUAUGCCAGAAAAUUUGGAAAACUCAGCAGUGGCCACAGGAC
ensembl:lncRNA